UACGUAGGGUGCAAGCGUUAAUCGGAAUUACUGGGCGUAAAGCGUGCGCAGGCGGUUUUGUAAGUCUGUCGUGAAAUCCCCCGGGCUCAACCUGGGAAUUGCGAUGGAGACUGCAAGGCUAGAAUCUGGCAGAGGGGGGGUAGAAUUCCACGUGUAGCAGUGAAAUGCGUAGAGAUGUGGAGGAACACCGAUGGCGAAGGCAGCCCCCUGGGUCAAGAUUGACGCUCAUGCACGAAAGGCGUGGGGAGCAAACGAGGAUUACGA
rnacentral:rRNA from 1 species